AGAGAAAUAUACAAAUUAUGGAAGGGCGGGGCUGGGAACCUCUCGGGGGUUACAGCCUUGCUGAAUUAUUCACCCUUGUCUUUUGCGUACUUCUUGUUUCCUUGGUGGGUUCGCCCACCACUAGGACAAACAUAAACCUUUUGUAAUUGCAAUCAGCGUCAGUAACAAAUUAAUAAUUACAACUUUCAACAACGGAUCUCUUGGUUCUGGCAUCGAUGAAGAACGCAGCGAAAUGCGAUAAGUAGUGUGAAUUGCAGAAUUCAGUGAAUCAUCGAAUCUUUGAACGCACAUUGCGCCCUUUGGUAUUCCAAAGGGCAUGCCUGUUCGAGCGUCAUUUGUACCCUCAAGCUUUGCUUGGUGUUGGGCGUCUUGUCUCUAGCUUUGCUGGAGACUCGCCUUAAAGUAAUUGGCAGCCGGCCUACUGGUUUCGGAGCGCAGCACAAGUCGCACUCUCUAUCAGCAAAGGUCUAGCAUCCAUUAAGCCUUUUUUUCACUUUUGACCUCGGAUCAGGUAGGGAUACCCGCUGAACUUAAGCAUAUAUAAAGCGGAGGAA
rnacentral:rRNA from 1 species